rnacentral:pre_miRNA from 18 species
UGGAGCUAUGGAGUGUGACAAUGGUGUUUGUGUCAGAGCUAUCAAACGCCAUUAUCACACUAAUGAGCUACUGC